AAAUAUUAUUGUUUUUAUCUUAAAACAGCAUUUAUAAACAAUCGUAUCCAGUAUUUACUGAGCCAAGCCUUCCUCCACACUCACCAAGUGCUUUUGAACAGACCAAAACAUUUGAAAACCUCAAUUCUGAUGCACGAGUAUAUGAAUCAGCAAGUAUUAAUAGUCCCAGUGUUACAAUACAUGAGGAUAAUUCAGUUUCUUUUUCUUCUACUGCUGGAUCUGAUCGUCCUCUAUUACCUGAACGUGCUCCUAUGACCUCAUACCAAACUACAGCUGCAGAGGAAGGAAAGGUUAAUAAGCCUCAUGAAGUUAGAGCUGAUAGCGGACCUUUUGAAAUUGUACAUAUAUAAUGGGGACUGCACGGAAUGGUAGAAUCAUUCAAUAGAAAUUUGAGGCUCCAUCAUUUAGAUAUUAAAUUAUUUAUAUACAUAUAUGUUAAAUCACAGGUUAAACAAGCAGCAAUUAUAAUUUUGUAUAGACUGGAUCUGUAAAAUUAUAUUAUCAUUUUACUUUUGUGUGCUAAAUUUUUGUAUUUCCUUUUUCUUCAAAAAGUGACGUAUUAUUUCAGACGUCAAUCAGAAUUAAGUCAAAUCACAUAGAAAGCAGUGAUAUGUAUAAAAUACGCCAGGCCAGUAGCAGCUUCCAUGUAUCCUGAGGUCACAACUAAUGGACAGUUCAAUAUUACUGUUGAUUACAUUCGUGGAGUACCAGAAUUAGUGAUACAAGUACUAACGUCAAAUGGAAGUGAACACUCUACUCAAGAGAUUAGUCUGAGACCUGAUAAUGGCAGACGUUCUUUGACUGUUUUAAGCAGUGUACUAUUAGCUAAUGGUAGCUACACUUAAUCCUUCAUCUCAUUUCUGGAGUAAUUGGUGCUGGUUUAUUGGUAAUACUUAUGAUUUUACUAGCAUUGCUAUUGAUGUGUAAGAGACAAGAUGGGGCUAUUUCAGUUCAGAAAUUGCUACAUGUCAUCAACAUCAGAUGUGUCAUCUGAUGUGACAAAUAAGAUCUGAAGCUCCAACAAGUGAACCAGUACAAGGGACUAUAGUGGAUUCUUAUCAUGUUUCUACUGAUGAAUUACAGGAAUGAGGACUGAUACUGCUGAUGUACCACCACCUGCUGUCCAACGUGAUGAAUAUAACAAUGUUGCUGGAGAUAUUAGCAAGUACUGAGUCUAUUACUGUAUCACUAAGAGUAUCACCUCAAGCUUUACCAGUUGAUUAUCCUUAUCCUCAAGAAGUGUCACCAAUUAACUAAUGGUAUUUGUAUGGUUAGAAUAUGAUGACUCAUCAA
rnacentral:lncRNA from 1 species